rnacentral:rRNA from 1 species
UACGGGGGGAGCAAGCGUUGUUCGGAUUUACUGGGCGUAAAGGGCGCGUAGGCGGUCAGCACAAGUCAGUUGUGAAAUCUCCGGGCUUAACUCGGAAAGGUCAACUGAUACUGUGCGACUAGAGUGCGGAAGGGGCAACUGGAAUUCUCGGUGUAGCGGUGAAAUGCGUAGAUAUCGAGAGGAACACCGGCGGCGAAGGCGGGUUGCUGGGCCGACACUGACGCUGAUGCGCGAAAGCCAGGGGAGCGAACGGG